rnacentral:rRNA from 1 species
CGAACGGGUGAGUAAUACAUCGGAGCGUGUCGAGAAGAGGGGGAUAACCACCCGAAAGGGUGGCUAAUACCGCAUAAAUUCUGAGGAAGAAAGCUGGGGACCUGGGAAUAGGCCUAGCGCUUUUUGAGCGGCCGAUGUCGGAUUAGCUAGUUGGUGAGGUAAAGGCUCACCAAGGCGAAGAUCUGUAGCGGGUCUGAGAGGAUGAUCCGCCACACUGGGACUUAGACACGGCCCAG